CAUAAUAACGAAUUAAUUCGUCGUUAAUGACUCUACCGGAAAAAAAUGGACAUUGAUAUGUUGUGUUGUUUCAGUCCUUAUUUAAGACUGAAGACUACAGUUCUGGCCAGUUCAGUCUUGCAUAUCCCUCCUAAAACUUAUAAAGUUCGGUCCUUGAUGACGUAAGUUAACUUUAUUUAUUUCUUUUUGAAUCAGUUAUUGUACUGCCAAUCUGAAGGACCGACGGUCUUAAAAACUGCUCCCAAGGACAAAUAUGACCGGUUCUAGAACUGGACUGGACCAAAUAGAUAAGGACUGGCGCAACACUGUGAACGAUUUCCAACAAUUCGUUUACCCAGUACAAAAACAUGUUAUCUGGAGCAAAGCUGGAACUGAGAUAUUUAACUUUCAAUAUUUGGGUGACUAUAUCUUUGACAAAAUUGGAGAUUCAAAUUUGGCUAUCAUCACUAACAUAAUAUUGUAACGUAUCUCUGAAACGUUUAGGACUUGCUAAAGGCGUAGACGGUCCUGCAGACUCCCAACUGCUUAGAGUGCACAAAUGAAAAUUUGUCGAAAAAGUUCAAACGUCAUUUUGUCGACUUGUACAUACGCUAAAGAGAUAUAAUUUAUCAGAUGGCAUCUAGCAGAGUAAAUUAUUUCUUCGAUUUUCUUAAGAAUUGCUUCUACUUUGAAGACAUUGGACGGAUCCCCGUGAUCCACUCAAGUUCUUUUACCCUGGUUUCAAGCUUAUUUUACCUUUUAAACAACAGAGUUGUACAACUGAUGUUACUUGAGGAUAGCAGGUGUCCAAUAUAUCAAGAUAAAAUAUAUUUGUUCUUUUAAGGCCUUGACUAUUUCUGGGAUGAUACGCUAAAUCUACAGUUCGGUACGAGUCACGGUACAUGCUUCAUGGUACGUAGUUUAGUAUCGUGUAAUAUUAAAAUGUAGUUGUUCAAGUUUUUUCGAUAUUUUAUGCCUAAAUAAUUUAUUCCUAAAUAAACUUCUCGAAAAAAAAGGUUGAAAUAAAAUAUACAUAAGGUUA
rnacentral:lncRNA from 1 species